rnacentral:rRNA from 1 species
UGGGCGUUAAGUUGCAGGGUAUAGACCCGAAACCCGGUGAUCUAGCCAUGGGCAGGUUGAAGGUUGGGUAACACUAACUGGAGGACCGAACCGACUAAUGUUGAAAAAUUAGCGGAUGACCUGUGGCUGGGGGUGAAAGGCCAAUCAAACCGGGAGAUAGCUGGUUCUCCCCGAAAGCUAUUUAGGUAGCGCCUCGUGAAUUCAUCUCCGGGGGUAGAGCACUGUUUCGGCUAGGGGGCCAUCCCGGCUUACCAACCCGAUGCAAACUGCGAAUACCGGAGAAUGUUAUCACGGGAGACACACGGCGGGUGCUAACGUCCGUCGUGAAGAGGGAAACAACCCAGACCGCCAGCUAAGGUCCCAAAGUCAUGGUUAAGUGGGAAACGAUGUGGGAAGGCCCAGACAGCCAGGAUGUUGGCUUAGAAGCAGCCAUCAUUUAAAGAAAGCGUAAUAGCUCACUGGUCGAGUCGGCCUGCGCGGAAGAUGUAACGGGGCUAAACCAUGCACCGAAGCUGCGGCAGCGACACUCAGGUGUUGUUGGGUAGGGGAGCGUUCUGUAAGCCUGCGAAGGUGGCCUGUGAGGGUUGCUGGAGGUAUCAGAAGUGCGAAUGCUGACAUAAGUAACGAUAAAGCGGGUGAAAAGCCCGCUCGCCGGAAGACCAAGGGUUCCUGUCCAACGUUAAUCGGGGCAGGGUGAGUCGACCCCUAAGGCGAGGCCGAAAGGCGUAGUCGAUGGGAAACGGGUUAAUAUUCCCGUACUUGGUGUUACUGCGAAGGGGGGACGGAGAAGGCUAUGUUGGCCGGGCGACGGUUGUCCCGGUUUAAGCGUGUAGGUGUGUGUUCCAGGUAAAUCCGGUUCACUUUAACACUGAGGCGUGACGACGAGGCACUACGGUGCUGAAGCAACAAAUGCCCUGCUUCCAGGAAAAGCCUCUAAGCAUCAGGUAACAUCAAAUCGUACCCCAAACCGACACAGGUGGUCAGGUAGAGAAUACCAAGGCGCUUGAGAGAACUCGGGUGAAGGAACUAGGCAAAAUGGUGCCGUAACUUCGGGAGAAGGCACGCUGACACGUAGGUGAAGUGAUUUACUCACGGAGCUGAAGUCAGUCGAAGAUACCAGCUGGCUGCAACUGUUUAUUAAAAACACAGCACUGUGCAAACACGAAAGUGGACGUAUACGGUGUGACGCCUGCCCGGUGCCGGAAGGUUAAUUGAUGGGGUCAGCGCAAGCGAAGCUCCUGAUCGAAGCCCCGGUAAACGGCGGCCGUAACUAUAACGGUCCUAAGGUAGCGAAAUUCCUUGUCGGGUAAGUUCCGACCUGCACGAAUGGCGUAAUGAUGGCCAGGCUGUCUCCACCCGAGACUCAGUGAAAUUGAACUCGCUGUGAAGAUGCAGUGUACCCGCGGCAAGACGGAAAGACCCCGUGAACCUUUACUAUAGCUUGACACUGAACAUUGAGCCUUGAUGUGUAGGAUAGGUGGGAGGCUUUGAAGUGUGG